UAAAGCUCUGUGAAGAAUAUAUGUGAUUACUUUCUAAAAUGGCAUAUUGAAGAUGGAGUUGACAAGGCUGGAGCCCAAACAUCAAAAACUGACAUGUCCUCCUGAGGACUGAGGAUAAUACAGCUAUGAAGACCCUCUCAAGGCUACCAGUGACUGGGAAUAAUCUGAGAGCUUCAUUCAACACCAUGUCAAGAUACUCCAUCUGUACAAGGGCAUCAUAACUGGGACGUUCCUGGAAGAAAGAAACAUACUUUGAUAAAUUGAGAUUUGGUGUACGCAGUACUACUGAAGUGUUAGAAACACUUACGAAUCAUUUGUUUUGGUAAAGGGCAUUUAUGAACA